rnacentral:lncRNA from 1 species
GAAAUUAAGGUUAAAGGAAAUUAAGGGUCAAUUUUGUUGCAGAUUGUAAUUUGUUAGGAAAACCUUAUUUCUUUUGGAGGAAAUGAAUAAUUAAUUAUUUUUGUAGUCAUCUCUAAGUUUUCAACCAAGAGAUUCACGAGUAUUGUUAUUAGAUUUAGGAUUUUAUACCAAGAUGAAUGUUAUGAAGUUAUUUAUUUACAAAUUCGAUUGCCAAUUGGCCAUAUUUUAUUGAUUAUGAUCAGGUAUAGGAGAAGGACCGUUUGUAAUUUUGUUUAUGCUUUCAAUCUAUUUUUAUUUGUAUAUUGCUCUGGUUUAUGUUUCAAUUAUAUUAAUGAUAUCUAUCUACAUUGAAUUCCCUCGAUUUUAUGUUUUUCAACUGAUCUUCGAGUUUUUGUUGAGUCUUUUUCUCCGUAUUUUCUUGUAUGAAAUAUGACAGUGCAGAAUUUCCUGCACUGCUGAAAAAGAUUUAUACUGUUACAAUCUAAACUUUCAUGAUCUGUUUGAUGCUAAGUUUAAACCAAGUUAUUCCAUAACACCUUGUCUUGAUUCUCUAUCUGAGGGCAAUCCAUAUUAAUUUUCUCAUGUUUUUCUCAAGUUGGUCAUCUUGUACACAUAUCAUUGUUAUCAAAAGCGGAUUGCGGAAAAUAGCGGAUUGUGUUGCAGUCAAAUAGCGGAGUCUGCUUAGAGGUCGAAAUAACUAAAUUAUAUAUAUAAAAAAGCAUUUUGAAUACUAAUAAAAUAGGGAAUUGAGCCAUAAUAUAGCUUAUAUAUUGAAAGUUAUAUGUAUUCUUUGAGAAUAUAGGAGUAAUACUCACCAACUCUUUAGUUUUUCUAUUAUAAAAAUAGGCCAUGUUUGGUUAUGCAAAAUUUUCAGUUUUAUUAUUUUAAGAAAACCUAAAAUUCUACUUUUACCGCUCUUGCCGCUAUUUCAACUAACAGAAAUCGGAAUAGUGGUUGCUAUUGUCCUAAUAGCAAAACCAGGAUAGUGUCACGGUUUUUAUAAUGGAUUCAUCAAAAUUCGCUAUGCUAUAGCGCUACAGUGUUGCUAUCACCGUUAAUUGACAAUAGGAAAAAUUCAAGAAUCCAUAUUAUUUUAGUAAUUAAGACAUGCAAUGUCUAAAAGAAUAUGAGGAUUGACAAAGGAAAUUAAGGGUCAAUUUUGUUGCAGAUUGUAAUUUGUUAGGAAAACCUUAUUUCUUUUGGAGGAAAUGAAUAAUUAAUUAUUUUUGUAGUCAUCUCUAAGUUUUCAACCAAGAGAUUCACGAGUAUUGUUAUUAGAUUUAGGAUUUUAUACCAAGAUGAAUGUUAUGAAGUUAUUUAUUUACAAAUUCGAUUGCCAAUUGGCCAUAUUUUAUUGAUUAUGAUCAGGUAUAGGAGAAGGACCGUUUGUAAUUUUGUUUAUGCUUUCAAUCUAUUUUUAUUUGUAUAUUGCUCUGG